rnacentral:rRNA from 1 species
UGGGGAAUCUUGCACAAUGGGCGAAAGCCUGAUGCAGCGACGCCGCGUGCGGGAUGAAGGCCUUCGGGUUGUAAACCGCUUUCAGCAGGGACGAGGCCGCAAGGUGACGGUACCUGCAGAAGAAGCCCCGGCUAACUACGUGCCAGCAGCCGCGGUAAUACGUAGGGGGCAAGCGUUAUCCGGAUUCAUUGGGCGUAAAGCGCGCGUAGGCGGUUUGUUAGGUCAGGAGUUAAAUCUGGGGGCUCAACCCCUAUCCGCUCCUGAUACCGGCAGGCUUGAGUCUGGUAGGGGAAGGCGGAAUUCCAAGUGUAGCGAUGAAAUGCGCAGAUAUUUGGAAGAACACCGGUGGCGAAGGCGGCCUUCUGGGCCACGACUGACGCUGAGGCGCGAAAGCUAGGGGAGCGAACAGG